AACCCAUGCAUAGGACACUUCUGCAACAAAUCCUUGAAUCUUUCCCAUACUUCAUAAAAGCUUUCAUCCUCUAUUUUCUUGAAUAAAAUUAGAUCAUGUCAAAGUUU